GUGUGUUGUAAGGGCGCAUGGUGGAUGCCUUGGCAUGCUAAGCCGAUGAAGGACGUGGAAGGCUGCGUUAUGCCUCGGGGAGUUGUCAAUCGAGCGUUGAUCCGAGGAUGUCCGAAUGGGGAAACCCGGCUGUGGUUAUUCGCAGUCACCUGCUGGUGAAUAUAUAGCUAGUAUGGGGGUUACGCGGGGAAGUGAAACAUCUCAGUACCCGUAGGAGAAGGAAACAAUAUGUGAUUUCGUGAGUAGCGGCGAGCGAAAGCGAAUGGUGGCUAAACCGUAUGUGUGUGAUACUUGGUAGAGGUUGCAUGUGCGGGGUUGUUGGGAGCGAUUGUAUGACUACUACCAUGGUUGUGCCAGUGUGCGCGUGUUAGGUGAAGUGGUUUGGAAUGGCCCACCGGAGUGGGUGAGAGUCCUGUAGCUGAAGGCAUGUGUGUGUUGGUUAAUUGUUUCCCGAGUAGCGGCGGGCUCGUGGAAUCUGCCGUGAAUCUGCCGGGACCACCCGGUAAGCCUAAAUACUUAGUGUGACCGAUAGCGGAUAGUACCGUGAGGGAAUGGUGAAAAGUACCCCGGGAGGGGAGUGAAAUAGUUCCUGAAACCAUGUGCUUACAAUCCGUCAGAGCACCUUUUGUUGUGUGAUGGCGUGCCUUUUGAAGAAUGAGCCUGCGAGUCAGCGGCAUGUCGCGAGGUUAACCCGUGUGGGGUAGUCGUAGCGAAAGCGAAUCCUAAUUGGGUGUUGUUAGUGGCAUGUCCUGGACCCGAAGCGGGGUGAUCUACCCAUGGCCAGUGUGAAGCAGCUGUAAGAGGUUGUGGAGGCGCGAACCCACGUAGGUUGAAAACUGCGGGGAUGAGCUGUGGGUAGGGGUGAAAGGCCAAUCAAACUCCGUGAUAGCUGGUUCUCCCCGAAAUGCAUUUAGGUGCAGCGUCGUAGUUGAGCUUUGUGGAGGUAGAGCUACUGUUUGGUUGAGCGGGACUAUCAUCUUAGCAACAUCAGACAAACUCCGAAUGCCAUGUAAGUGUUCUACGGCAGUGAGACUGUGGGGGAUAAGCUUCAUAGUCGAGAGGGAAACAGCCCAGAUCGCCGGCUAAGGCCCCUAAGGGUGUACUAAGUGGAAAAGGAUGUGGGAUCGCGAUGACAGCCAGGAGGUUGGCUUAGAAGCAGCCAUCCUUGAAAGAGUGCGUAAUAGCUCACUGGUCGAGUGGUUCUGCGCCGAUAAUGUAGUGGGGCUCAAGUACACCGCCGAAGCCGCGGCAACCAUCUUUGAUGGAUGGUUGGGUAGGGGAGCGUCGUGCAUGAGGUGAAGCAUGAGUGUGAACACGUGUGGAUUGUGUGCGAGUGAGAAUGCAGGCAUGAGUAACGAAUUGUAAGGUGAGAAUCCUUACCGCCGGAUGACUAAGGGUUCCUGGGUCAAGUUCGUCUUCCCAGGGUGAGUCGGGACCUAAGGCGAGGCCGACAGGCGUAGUCGAUGGAUAACCAGUUGAUAUUCUGGUACCCGAGUGUGUGCGUCAAUGGUAAAGCAGUGAUACUAACCAUGUUCGAGACUUAUUGAUUAUGCCCUUUUUGGGUGUGUUGAUAGGUUGAGUUUGUGGGGCCUGAUCUGUGGUCCAAGUGAUGGGGUGACGCAGUAGGGCAGCCACGCCGCUUAGUGGAUUGUUGGUGUAAGCGUUGAGGUUGGUGCCAUUGGUAAAUCCGGGUGCUGUAUCCAAGGCGUGAUGCAUAGCCCGUAUAGGGUGAAUGUGGUGUGCUUGUGCUGUCGAGAAAAGCCUCUAGCGAGUGCAUAUUCGGCCCGUACCCUAAACCGACACAGGUAGUCAGGUUGAGAAUACUAAGGCGUUCGGGUGAACUGUGGUUAAGGAACUCGGCAAAAUGUCCCCGUAACUUCGGGAGAAGGGGAGCCUCACUGGUUGUAUAGGCUGGUGGGGCCGCAGAGAAUAGAGGGGUCCGACUGUUUAUCAAAAACACAGGUCCAUGCGAAAACGUGAAGUUGAUGUAUAUGGACUGACGCCUGCCCGGUGCUGGAAGGUUAAGAGGACCUGUUAGACCUUUUGUGAUCGAAGCGGAGAAUUUAAGCCCCAGUAAACGGCGGUGGUAACUAUAACCAUCCUAAGGUAGCGAAAUUCCUUGUCGGGUAAGUUCCGACCUGCACGAAUGGCGUAACGAGACCCCUGCUGUCUCAACCACAGGCCCGGUGAAAUUGCAGUACGAGUAAAGAUGCUCGUUACGCGCGGCAGGACGAAAAGACCCCGGGACCUUCACUAUAGCUUGGUAUUGGUGUUCGGUUUGGCUUGUGUAGGAUAGGUGGGAGACUGUGAAGUAUGCACGCUAGUGUGUGUGGAGUCGUUGUUGAAAUACCACUCUGGCUUGAUCGGAUACCUGAACCUUGGCCCAUGAUCUGGGUUGGGGACAGUGCCUGGUGGGUAGUUUAACUGGGGCGGUUGCCUCCUAAAGAGUAACGGAGGCGCCCAAAGGUUUCCUCAGCCUGGUUGGCAAUCAGGUUUUGAGUGUAAGUGCACAAGGAAGCUUGACUGUGAGAGUGACUGCUCGAGCAGGGACGAAAGUCGGGACUAGUGAUCCGGCACCUACUUGUGGAUGUGGUGUCGCUCAACGGAUAAAAGGUACCCCGGGGAUAACAGGCUGAUCUUCCCCAAGAGUCCAUAUCGACGGGAUGGUUUGGCACCUCGAUGUCGGCUCGUCGCAUCCUGGGGCUGGAGUAGGUCCCAAGGGUUGGGCUGUUCGCCCAUUAAAGCGGCACGCGAGCUGGGUUCAGAACGUCGUGAGACAGUUCGGUCUCUAUCCGCCGCGCGCGUAGAAACUUGAAAAAGGCUGUCCCUAGUACGAGAGGACCGGGAUGGAUACACCUCUAGUGUGCCAGUUGUCACGCCCGUGGCAUGGCUGGUUGGCUACGUGUAGAAGGGAUAACCGCUGAAAGCAUCUAAGCGGGAAGCCUGUUUUGAGAUGAGGUUUCGUUAUUGAGGCGCCCUAGAGAUUAUGGGGUUGAUAGGCUAGAUCUGGAAGCGUUGUAAGGCGUGGAGGUGACUGGUACUAAUUCGCCGAACUACUACAACA
rnacentral:rRNA from 2 species